GUACAUGCUGCAUUCAGCUAGGCAGUUCAACCGAUCAAAUCUGUGGGGAGCAAGUCUGUGGAUGUGUAGAAAAUGCACCAAGCAAGGGCCAAAGUAUCUCGGCUGCAGCUUUUGACUCUCCAGUGGUUUUCCUUUGUCCUAGAUGCCCUGAGAUAAUGGAAUUGUGCAUUUGAUGAAGUACCUGGUCUCGUAAAGUAUGAGGUAAUAUUAACUGGACCACACUUCAGUGUUGUAUUAGCAUCUUCCACGCACUGGCAGUUUCGUGGGUCGGGACAUCUGGAAAGUGCAUCUGCAUUGCCAUGUUUAUCGCCAGGUCUGUAUUCAAUGGAGAAAUCAUAAGAAGAAAGUAUUUCAAUCCAUCUGGCGAUUCUACCCUUGGGUUCUUUAAUUUUGAAUAACCAAACCAAAGCCUGGUGAUCUGUUCUGAUUUCAAAUUUUCUCCCUAAAAGAUAAUGUCUAAAGUAUUCAACGAAAUAUCGUACUGCAAGUAGUUCUUUAUCUGUGACACAAUAAUUAGUUUCAGCUUUGUU